UUGACAAAGUUGAAAAUCAUAGAGCACCUUCUUAAAAUUGUUUCUGAAAAGAAAGCUGGGGAGUGUGAAGCGACAGCAGAUGUCGAGACAGAAUCAUCUCCUACACCUGUCCAUAAAUCUUCCAAAAGGCAGAGGAAAAUUGAUAACCCAUCACGGUUAACUGUUUCUGUUAACUACACUGCAGCUAACAAUGGAAGCAAUGAUUUAGGUAAUACUGUGUAUUGUAAAAACUCAGCAUGCAGGGCUACCUUAAAACAAGGUGAUGAAUUUUGCAAGAGGUGUUCAUGUUGCAUCU
rnacentral:misc_RNA from 1 species